rnacentral:rRNA from 1 species
UACAGAGGUCCCAAGCGUUGUUCGGAUUCACUGGGCGUAAAGGGUGCGUAGGUGGCCAGGUAAGUUUGGUGUGAAAGCUCGGAGCUCAACUCCGAAAUGGCAUUGAAUACUAUCUGGCUGGAGGGUCGGAGGGGAGACUGGAAUUCUCGGUGUAGCAGUGAGAUGCGUAGAUAUCGAGAGGAACACCAGUGGCGAAGGCGAGUCUCUGGACGACACCUGACACUGAGGCACGAAAGCUAGGGGAGCAAACAGG